rnacentral:lncRNA from 1 species
UUCCAAACUCAAGUCUUUGUUGUGGAAGUGAACCUCCUUCAUCACCAAAUGCCUGGAUUUUAUUAUGAACCUGCUUUUGAAUUAUAACUGUAGCGGAAAUCCCUUGAUAAAUCUUGAUUUCGGGCUCAGAAAACAAUCAAACGAACAUCGGUUUACCUCGGCUUGACCCAAGACUUUCGUCUUCACUUUGGACUGAUCUCUUUCUCUCUAACCCCACAAAGGAGAAGGGUGGUGAUGUUAGCAAUCCACAAAGAUAUGGAGAGGAAGACAAAGAUAUCACAAUGGUUGAAACUCACUCACAAUCUCACAUGGCUUCCCUCUCUCUCGGUUGCCUCUCUUCUCUCAACUCUCCUCUCCAUUGCUACAAUACAUACACACAAAAAAACGGCUGGGAGAUAAAUACAUAUAUAUAGGUUAGUUUAGAUCACCAAAUAUAGGCCUAAAGAUCUCUAAGUGGACUGCUAUAUAUCCUAAACUAAUGGGCCAAUUUCCAACUCUAUAUUAAUCACUAAAUGGUCUAACUAACCAAAUAAUCAUCCAACUCAAACCCGAGUCAUCUAAAAGUGUAGUUCGUCUCCGAGCCGAGCCAAGUCCAUGAUGUCGAUAAAUAAUUCGACAACUGUUUUAAAUCAUCGCCAGGAUUAUUGGGUAUCAAAAAACCCAACAAUCUCCACCUUGAUGUCCAAUAAUCUGCAAGCAACCAAAACACACAGUUUAUACUUGCACAAAAAUUGGAAUAACAGGCCUUACCUUGUGUUUUCAACCUGAAACACAUACGAUACUUGCUCCAUGUACUCACCAGGGCUAAGGUCAAGAAUACCCAAAUAGAAACAAGUAUUCACAAUGAACAAAUAAUAAUGCGAUAAAGAUAUAUAGGAUAACACACAAACAGAUCUUUUCAAAACCACGUUCACGCAGAACCACAGAUUAACACAUAGUUAAUCAACAUACGGUCGCACACAUAUGCAACAAAUGCAUAAAUGACCCCAAGAAAAGAUCUCACCACACUUAUUUUAUCCCAUUCCGUGUUGCUCACACCUCGAGAACACAUAUCUCCUCUCAUCGCCCACCAUACUCACUAAACAGAUUACUCAACUCAUGUCUAACUGGUAAGUCACAAUAGAUCCUAAGUCCACGGGAUAAUUCUCUAUCACCACAUCACUUCUCCCAACCUACGUGGAUAAUGGGACUCUACCUUACAGAAGUGAUAGAAGUGCCUCUCUCACACUCCACCUGAUCAGGGUCUCUUUCAUAGAUAAAGAUUCUACACAUUUGAUCACAUCUCCACUCGUGAUCCAAAUGUCACACUCUACAUCCCCCGUGCAUAUUACUAAUGCACCUCUAGGCAUCUAUACUCCACCUUACCAAAAGACAUCCAACUCACUGCUAAUGCAUCACAAACUCACUGCUGCAAAAUAACACCUUUCGACGACCACAGAGAUUACUCCAAUCACCAAAGCUCCAAAAAAUCCACAAAGAAAAUGGCGAAGGUGGCACUCACAAAGAAAAAUCGAAGAAAGAAUCGGUUACUUCACAACGCUCAUAAAGGAGGCUCACAAAGAGAAAGAAUAUAGCCCUAACAUGGCUGUCUCACAUAAUCUCAGAAACUACAUAGGCUCACAAAGAUAAAGGAGAGAAACGGCUGCCUAACUUUCUUCUCAAUACCACACUCUCACUCCACUCAUAGAGCAAAUAGAGUACGCCACAAAACUUAACCCACUAUGCAUGUAAACAUAUUACACAAAGUAAUAAGUCACUCUAAUUCAUGCAAUUAC